rnacentral:piRNA from 1 species
UGGUAUUUAUGUACCAAUGUGCCUCUGC